AGCAGCCGCCGCGGUAACACGGAGGGUGCAAGCGUUAAUCGGAAUUACUGGGCGUAAAGCGCACGCAGGCGGUCUGACAAGUCAGAUGUGAAAUCCCCGGGCUUAACCUGGGAACUGCAUUUGAAACUGUCAGGCUGGAGUCUUGUAGAGGGGGGUGGAAUUCCAGGUGUAGCGGUGAAAUGCGUAGAGAUCUGGAGGAAUACCGGUGGCGAAGGCGGCCCCCUGGACAAAGACUGACGCUCAGGUGCGAAAGCGUGGGGAGCAAACAGGAUUAGAUACCCGUGUAGUCCCUGUCUCUUAUAC
rnacentral:rRNA from 1 species